AUGGGGGUGCUGUCGCGGCCGGAGGAGGUGCCGGCGCUGGUCAGGCUCAAGCUGGCGGCGGGGCGGAUCAGGCGCGAGAUCCCGCCCCAGGAGCACUGGGCCUUCGCCUACGACAUGCUCCAGCGGGUCUCCCGCAGCUUCGCGCUCGUCAUCCAGCAGCUCGGACCAGACCUCCGCAAUGCCGUGUGCGUCUUCUACCUCGUGCUCCGGGCCCUGGACACCGUCGAGGACGACACCGCCAUCCCUAACGAGGUCAAGCUGCCCAUCCUUCGGGAUUUCUACCGCCACAUCUACAACCCGGACUGGCUCUUUUCAUGUGGAGCAAACGACUACAGAGUGCUCAUGGAUUAUUUUAGACAAGUCUCCACUGCUUUCUUGGAGCUAGGCGAAGGUCUCUACAUGCACAGUCGAUAUGUGUUCAGUCCAACCCCAUGGCAUCAGGGAGGUCGAGUUUGUCGCGAGCAGCAGUACAUGGUUGUCGGCUUCCACUUUCUUCCACCUAGGUGCUUUCGCUCGGUGAUACAAGGCUUGUAA
rnacentral:rRNA from 1 species